GUCUUUUUAUAUCCCCUAAGGGUUAAUUAAUAUGUAUGAAUUGACGAUGUGGUCAAUUGACCAAUCGUGACCUUUAACCCCGAAAUAUGGGCGUAUCUAAACCCCUAUCUCGUCAUUUCCAUAUAUAGCCCUAGGCACUGACCACUGGUCCCACGGACCGUGUGCAACAUAAUAACGACUGCCUUUCAGGUUCUAUCGUUUGGUUAUAUUUUACCUUGAUAUAGAAUGAAGGGUGUAAACCUAAAACGGGUUAAUUAACAACUAAUCUAAGGGAAGCAACUCGCAUAGAUUUGGCUGACUAUAGCGUAUAGCUUUAACUACUCUAGGUAACUUUGAACACAUAACAUAUAAAACUUGUCUAUUUCCUAGUUCACUACACAACCCCCUUCUUUCGAAGAGUUUGUGUCCCCACAAACGUCAUACAUAGUUAAUAGUUUUCGUAACAAAAGCAAUCUAUCUAUUCUAACG